AUUGAACGCUGGCGGCAGGCCUAACACAUGCAAGUCGAGCGAGCGGCGGACGGGUGAGUAAUGUAUGGGGACUGCCCGAUAGAGGGGGAUAACUACUGGAAACGGUGGCUAAUACCGCAUACUAUCGGAUAACCCAUAUGGGAUUAGCUAGUAGGUGGGGUAAAGGCUCACCUAGGCGACGAUCUAUAGCUGGUCUGAGAGGAUGAUCAUCCAAACUGGGACUGGGACAAGGCCCAAGAGCCGACGGAGGGAGCAGUGGGGAAUAUUGCACAAAGGGGGGAAGCCUGAUGCAGCCAAGCCGCGGGUAAUAAGAAGGCCUUAGGGGUGGAAAGGACUUUCAGCGGGGAGGCGUUACCCGCAGAAGAAUCACCGGCUAACUCCGGGCCAGCAGCCGCGGUAAUAC
rnacentral:rRNA from 1 species